GGGGGUACAGCUCAGUGGUAGAGCACGUGCUUGGCAUGCACGAGGUCCUGGACUCAAUCCUCAGUGGCUCUG
rfam:Camelus ferus unplaced genomic scaffold scaffold374, whole genome shotgun sequence.